UCCUAGCCUUAUUAUCAGCUUUUCCUAAACUUACACAUGCAAGUCUCAGCACACCUGUGAGGAUGCCCUUUUUGCUAAAAGAAAAAGGAGCCGGUAUCAGGCACAGCCCAUUACACCUAGUCCCACCACGCCCCCAAGGGCCUUCAGCAGUGAUAAACAUUGUUUAUAAGCGACAGCUUGACCCAAUUAAAGGAAAGAGACCUGGCCAAUUCGGUGCCAGCCGCCGACGGUGAGCUCAAGUUGAUAAAUACCGGUAAGCGUGAUUAAAGACCCUCAAAAUUAGAAUAAAACCUAAACUCGGCUGUUGUAAGACGAAAGUUAUUCUAAUCUUG
rnacentral:rRNA from 1 species